rnacentral:rRNA from 1 species
UACAGAGGUGGCAAGCGUUGUUCGGAAUUACUGGGCGUAAAGGGCGCGUAGGCGGCCUUCUAAGUCAGACGUGAAAUCCCCCGGCUUAACCUGGGAACUGCGUCUGAUACUGGAGGGCUUGAGUGCGGGAGAGGGAUGUGGAAUUCCAGGUGUAGCGGUGAAAUGCGUAGAUAUCUGGAGGAACACCGGUGGCGAAGGCGGGUCUCUGGGCCGAUACUGACGCUGAGGAGCGAAAGCGUGGGGAGCAAACAGG